UUCGCUGACGAGUGGCGGACGGGUGAGUAAUGUCUGGGAAACUGCCUGAUGGAGGGGGAUAACUACUGGAAACGGUGGCUAAUACCGCAUAACGUCGCAAGACCAAAGAGGGGGACCUUCGGGCCUCUUGCCAUCAGAUGUGCCCAGAUGGGAUUAGCUUGUUGGUGAGGUAACGGCUCACCAAGGCGACGAUCCCUAGCUGGUCUGAGAGGAUGACCAGCCACACUGGAACUGAGACACGGUCCAGACUCCUACGGGAGGCAGCAGUGGGGAAUAUUGCACAAUGGGCGCAAGCCUGAUGCAGCCAUGCCGCGUGUAUGAAGAAGGCCUUCGGGUUGUAAAGUACUUUCAGCGGGGAGGAAGGUGUUGUGGUUAAUAACCGCAGCAAUUGACGUUACCCGCAGAAGAAGCACCGGCUAACUCCGUGCCAGCAGCCGCGGUAAUACGGAGGGUGCAAGCGUUAAUCGGAAUUACUGGGCGUAAAGCGCACGCAGGCGGUCUGUCAAGUCGGAUGUGAAAUCCCCGGGCUCAACCUGGGAACUGCAUUCGAAACUGGCAGGCUUGAGUCUUGUAGAGGGGGGUAGAAUUCCAGGUGUAGCGGUGAAAUGCGUAGAGAUCUGGAGGAAUACCGGUGGCGAAGGCGGCCCCCUGGACAAAGACUGACGCUCAGGUGCGAAAGCGUGGGGAGCAAACAGGAUUAGAUACCCUGGUAGUCCACGCCGUAAACGAUGUCUACUUGGAGGUUGUGCCCUUGAGGCGUGGCUUCCGGAGCUAACGCGUUAAGUAGACCGCCUGGGGAGUACGGCCGCAAGGUUAAAACUCAAAUGAAUUGACGGGGGCCCGCACAAGCGGUGGAGCAUGUGGUUUAAUUCGAUGCAACGCGAAGAACCUUACCUGGUCUUGACAUCCACGGAAGUUUUCAGAGAUGAGAAUGUGCCUUCGGGAACCGUGAGACAGGUGCUGCAUGGCUGUCGUCAGCUCGUGUUGUGAAAUGUUGGGUUAAGUCCCGCAACGAGCGCAACCCUUAUCCUUUGUUGCCAGCGAUUAGGUCGGGAACUCAAAGGAGACUGCCAGUGAUAAACUGGAGGAAGGUGGGGAUGACGUCAAGUCAUCAUGGCCCUUACGACCAGGGCUACACACGUGCUACAAUGGCGCAUACAAAGAGAAGCGACCUCGCGAGAGCAAGCGGACCUCAUAAAGUGCGUCGUAGUCCGGAUUGGAGUCUGCAACUCGACUCCAUGAAGUCGGAAUCGCUAGUAAUCGUGGAUCAGAAUGCCACGGUGAAUACGUUCCCGGGCCUUGUACACACCGCCCGUCACACCAUGGGAGUGGGUUGCAAAAGAAGUAGGUAGCUUAACCUUCGGGAGGGCGCUUACCACUUUGUGAUUCAUGACUGGGGUGAAGUCGUAACAAGGUAACCGUAGGGGAACCUGCGGUUGGAUCACCUCCUUACCUUAAAGAAGC
rnacentral:rRNA from 1 species